GAUGAACGCUGGCGGCGUGCCUAACACAUGCAAGUCGAACGGUGAAGCGCCUUCCUUUCUGGUGGGUGUGGAUGGGCGGCGAACGGGUGAGUAACACGCUAGCAACCUGCCCCGUUUUUCUUGAUAACCGCAUGCAAGAGUGCCUAAUAGGGGAUAUUCUGGAUCUGUCGGAUCAUGGGUCUGGGAAGGAUAUUGUGUCGGUGGGGGAUGGGCUCGCGGUCUAUCAGCUUGUUGGUGGGGUGAUGGCCUACCAAGGCGGUGACGGGUAGCCGGCCUGGGAGGGUGGGCGGCCAUGCUGGGACGGAGCCACCGCGACGCCUACUACGGGCAGCAGCAGUGAGGAUUAUGGCACGGGCGGAGGAAGGCUGAUGCAGCGACGCGGCGUGGGGGAUGGUCGUCUGCGGGUAAAGAACUUCUAUUGGCGGUGAAGCAGGCCUGCCUCGUUUGUGGGUGGGUUGACGGUACCUGGAUAAGAAGCGCCGGCUAACUACGUG
rnacentral:rRNA from 1 species